UGAGGAAUAUUGGUCAAUGGGCGCGAGCCUGAACCAGCCAAGUAGCGUGAAGGAUGACUGCCCUACGGGUUGUAAACUUCUUUUAUAAAGGAAUAAAGUGAGGCACGUGUGCCUUUUUGUAUGUACCGUAUGAAUAAGGAUCGGCUAACUCCGUGCCAGCAGCCGCGGUAAUACGGAGGAUCCGAGCGUUAUCCGGAUUUAUUGGGUUUAAAGGGAGCGUAGGCGGACGCUUAAGUCAGUUGUGAAAGUUUGCGGCUCAACCGUAAAAUUGCAGUUGAUACUGGGUGUCUUGAGUACAGUAGAGGCAGGCGGAAUUCGUGGUGUAGCGGUGAAAUGCUUAGAUAUCACGAAGAACUCCGAUUGCGAAGGCAGCCUGCUGGACUGUAACUGACGCUGAUGCUCGAAAGUGUGGGUAUCAAACAGG
rnacentral:rRNA from 1 species